UCUUCGGCCUCCUCUAGUCUUGUCCGGGAUGGAGAGUGUGCGGAGAGGCGUGCAGGGAGAGAGCGGGGUUGGCGAGCGGGGCGGCGGCGAGCGGGGAAGUGCCGGGGCGGCGGCGGGGAAGAGCGGAAGUGCGGGGCGGCGGGGAAACGGAGCGACGGCUCACGGCUGGUGCGACGGCGUGCGUGGGCCGUUGGGGAGCGGAGAGGCCACGGACGGAGCGGAGGGAGUGCGCUUGGACGAGAUGCGCGGCGGGGAGUAGGAGCCGCCGCUCUCCAUGCGCCCUCGACGGCGGCGGCGGCGACGGUCCCCGCACCUGCGCACACCCGGAUGACGGCCGCAUGCUCCAGCGCGGACUCGGACGCCGUGCCACCGCGCCCCGGGAGGCGGCGGUCAAGGGACAGCCAAGCUCUAGGGGGUAACGAGAGGACGGACGGCAGCAACCAGAAGGACGAUGGUCGGGGCGGGAUAGAGGUUCUGUUGCAAGACGAGGUAGGCAACCAUUCAUCGCUGGUACGGUAGAGAGGGGGAAAGUUAGGGAUAUCAUGAAAAGGGUACCACAAAGAAAAGUUACCACUACUUUGAGUCCGCGGGUACUGGUGGCACAAAGAAAAGGAAAAUAAGGAACCGGUAUCAAAAGUACUUAGCGUUACCAAAAGUAAUCGACAUUCGUACAUUGACUAUCUCACUCCGUACCGGCAAACGAAACUAGUUUAGGUUGGGGUAAUAGUUUACUUUACGAUCCUCUUUUAUUCAACCAUCGUGAAGAGAAAAAGGUUUUCUCGACCGUACGACCCGUCGUCACGAGAAAACCAAAACGAAUCGACGUCCUAUUUUACUAGUGGGUCAAUCAGUACCCGAGUACCGACCCAAUUUACAUAAGUCUUCUUCUUCAGAGACUGGCGGUGUGUGGACGGCAGCUGGUCGUGUAGUCCAUUGGGUGGGCGACAGGUGGUGACCUAAGGCAAAGCGGAAGUUUGACGCAAAUACGUAUUUAAGUCUCAGUGCCUUAUUUUUACGAAGAAACGACACUAUUAGAUUUUAAAGGUUUCUAAAUAAGGUUCACUAAGAGGUCUAAACAGGGGAGCCUCAUCAGUUAAGAAAAAACAUCAGUUAAGAAACGACAUCUGUUCUACCACGAGGAGCCUCAUCUUCGACUACAUGACAUCAGUAGAAGUUCACGACCAUCUUCGACUACAUCAGCUAAGAAACCUUAUUUAACGUCGUUUAAUGUCAUGCCACGACAAGUCAUGCUUAACCUAAACAACAUUUAAAAUGUCCAACUGAUUCCACGACAACUCUACUGAUGCGACGACAGUUAAAUUUAUUUGGACUUAACUGAAACCUCAUUUUGUCCCGUCUGAAGUUGAAGUUUGUUAUCGUUAAAAUCUUCUUCUCUAACCACCACAAUUUCCUGUAAAACCUGGUUAGUUACUUAAUCGUAAAUUAGGACUACCCUCCUCCAGAACUUUCAUCGUAUAUGUAGUUUAUAAACACCUGUAGUACGUACCUACUUUUAGACCCUUGUCAAUCAAACAACCGAUACAGAACAGUAUCGACCCACGAGGACUAAGUUUUCUAAAUUUCCACUGGAGCAGUUUCGUAACGAAUCGUUUUUCUUGUGACGUCACGUCUCCUCCUCGUCGUCGUCGUGCCCGUACCCUCUUCGUACACUCUGUCGUCUCGAGUUGGUUGCCCUCGAGCUCCUCUUCGUUCUCGGCCUCGAGUUCCUCUUCGUCAUCGGCCUCGUACUCCUCUUCGUCGUCGCCCUCGAUCUCCGUGCGCCCUCUCGUCAAAACCCGCCGCCGCUACCGCUGCCGCGUCCAAACCCGCGACCCUCCCCUAGAGCCGCCCCAUCCAGACCCGCCGACACAGCCUCGUCAAGAACCGCCGCCGCCACUACGGACAUCCGUUAGCGUCGACCGGCCGCGGCCGUGGACCGUUGCACGCCCACUGCUCGCCUCCUUCUUCUGCCCCGCCUAACCAUACAAACUCUGUGAAAACUUUAACGCUCCCGAAAAAACGUUUAAACGGUUACUUGACCCGUACGCUGUUCUUAAAGCCCUGACUCUCUCAUAACAAAACAAUAAGAGUAAAUACUCGUGCCUAUACAGUUGGUAGUUUGUAUAAUCUCAACUGUCGGUUCUUUAUGG
rnacentral:rRNA from 1 species